CCUACGGGGGGCAGCAGUGGGGAAUAUUGGACAAUGGGGGGAACCCUGAUCCAGCCAUGCCGCGUGUGUGAAGAAGGCCCUCGGGUUGUAAAGCACUUUCAGUGAGGAAGAACGCCUGGUGGUUAAUACCCAUCAGGAAAGACAUCACUCACAGAAGAAGCACCGGCUAACUCCGUGCCAGCAGCCGCGGUAAUACGGAGGGUGCGAGCGUUAAUCGGAAUUACUGGGCGUAGAGCGCGCGUAGGUGGCUUGAUAAGCCGGUUGUGAAAGCCCCGGGCUCAACCUGGGAACGGCAUCCGGAACUGUCAAGCUAGAGUGCAGGAGAGGAAGGUAGAAUUCCCGGUGUAGCGGUGAAAUGCGUAGAGAUCGGGAGGAAUACCAGUGGCGAAGGCGGCCUUCUGGACUGACACUGACACUGAGGUGCGAAAGCGUGGGUAGCAAACAGGAUUAGAUACCCUUGUAGUC
rnacentral:rRNA from 1 species